CGCUCCGCUCAGACUCCUCAAGCUUCCUGCUGCCUCCAAUGCAAUGGUGGAGGAUGAGCUCCACUAAGGAACACAUCCGGCUCACAGAUCUGGCUGGCAUUGCUCUGUCUUGUAACAGCAGGUUUCUCUUUACUGCCUGAUUUUCUGCUACCCCUGUGGAGGGUCAUUUCUGUGUGUGUGUAUGUUAGCUGUCAGCCAGGGAUUUGGGAAGUUUGUGCUCUGAUUCUGGGUUUCACUCCUGUGACUUGUGUGCCAGGAUUUCCUCUUCCUAUUUCCAGCUGCUUUCCCGGCUCUAAGCUCCAAGUGCUAUCACCUUCAGUUGACCAGCUGCGUCUUUGUCCCUCCCCACAUCACUUUCUGCAGCCAGGGCAGCACUCCUGGACAGGAAGCCAUGAACUUGCAAUUCCACCAUUUCUUCCAGUUGCUUUUGGAGAAUUCAGUUUCAAAGUGCGAGUUGAGGAUAACAUUCUGGCUUUCAGAAAUCAUAAAUAAUGAACGGCACAUUUGAGUCAUUAUCGGUGGUUAUCCCUCUUAGAGUCCUCUUUGGUGUGCUCCGACCUAAGGCACCCGUGGAGAAGGAGAAGGAGAUCUCAAGAGGAAAAAUCAAUGCAGGAACAAAGAAACUCUUGGGUCUAGUGAAGAGAGACUGGAUCUUGCUAGGCGAGUCAGGGAUGGGGAGCUGGAACUGGGAAAUGUUAAUUUGCAAGGGUCCCCUGUGUAGCAAGAGGAAACUGCACAUCCCUCUAGCCUGAACUCUGUCUUCAGAUCCCAGCUUCCUACACUCUCACCUGGAGAACUCCCCAAGUUCUUUCUUCUCCUUCAACAUUCCCAACAUCUGGGCUUCCUCUGGGUCCUGGUUUCAGAUGAUUUUCACAUGUCCAUUUCUUGCUUCUACCCUGGGUGAGUUAAAUUUGGAUGACAAUACCCAGAUCUUACAGUUUGAAGGAGAAUUAAAUGGAAUAAUAUGUGCAGAAGUGUUUCGUCAACAGCAAAGUGCAUUUAAAGGCAGAAUGUGCAUGUGAGACAGCCAAGUGUAAAGGGGUCCCCAGAGAAACUCCAACCGACCUGCACACUGGAAGGAGUGUGCACUGGGGUGGAGCCUCGGGAAGUUCCUGCCCUUUGCCGUAGGGAAGGAGCCUGGCCUCUCCUGUUCAGAGAUGGAAGCAGGAACUCAAUCUGUGAGGUGGGAAGCCUGUACUUGCAGGACUCUCACUCUGCUGAGUCCCUGUUUCCAGUUUUUCCCAUUUUUGCCCAAUAAAUUCUUUUUUUCUCACCCUUCACAGUGUUUGUGAGCCCAAUAUUUCACGGCCAUGUGACAAGGACCCAGCUCUUAGAUGAACUAAGGAGAAGGUACUACAACAUUUUUGGUGCUCAUAAUGUGAGGCUUGAGAAGGGCCAUGGAACUCCAACGGUCAUGCAACCAAAGCCUCUGAUAAUGGCGCCUUCUUCUGGGAACCCUUCGAUCAGCCUCGGAGGGAACGCUGACUGCCAUUUCCCCCAAAACAGCGCCCCCUACCAGCAGAAGGCAGUUAAGACUGGUCUUCAUCCUUGCGCUAAUCCUUAAUCUACGGGCAGUCAGAUGUCCUUCUUUAGAGGGGGAAUGAGACAGCCAGGCGGGAAAGGAUCCCUGGACAAACUCCCAGCUGGCCUGCUUACUGGGAAGAGCGUGCAUUGGGGUGGAGCCUUGGGAAGUUUGCGCUUUGCGGCUGGGGAGGAACCCAGCCUCUCCUGUUUGGUUGUGGAACCUGGGAUUCAAUCUGUGAGGCAGGACGCCCAGACUAGCAGGACUCGUGCUCUGCUAGAGUCCUUGUUUCCCCUUUUUUUCCUUUUCACCCAAUAAAUUCCAUUUUUCUCACCCUUCAAAGUAUCUGUGAGCCUAGUAUUUCAUGGCUGUGUGAUAAGGACCCAGCUCUUAGCUGAAAUAAGGAGAAAGUCCUACAGCAUAUACAUGAACUCCCCUCAACACCAAGUCUCAAUGUCCUAUUUAUUAUUAUGAGACCUGAUGUUUACUGACUGCUUACAACAUGUCAUGUAUUCCUCUCUACAUUUCAGGAGUAUAAAUAUUUGUUGAAGGAAUAAAU
rnacentral:lncRNA from 1 species